CAACAACGAGCGAUUUAGGAGGCUGGAAGCGCUAUUAUCGUGUUUGGAGGAGCGUGCACGCGUGUGCCAAGUUUCGUCAUUGCACCGAGAUCAUUGAAAAGCCUCGACGUUCUCCCAUGGUGCUCGACACAGGAGGAAUGAAUAUCACGCGACGGAUUGUCCAUUAAGAAGACAUCGUGCGCUGCGUACAAAAUCGUUAUCGAAUCCGGCAGUCGCGAAAGGACGCGAUUGUCAUGACGAUAGCGAUUUCAAAGGGUCCUCGCGCAAAGCACGAGAAAGGAGAUGAAUUUCGGAUGCUUCUCGCGGACGCGACUUCUUCGAUGGAAUUAAUCCGGAGAGAUUAUCCUUCUCUCACAUGAAGGAGCGACUCUCAAGACACGCCUGGCGCUUGGUAUCACGUGUGAUUGCAUAAAAAAAGAGCGCGACGCGAUCAUAUGACCACGCGCGUAACUUUUGGCGGAGAAACGCAUUUGCGACCACUUUCACCAUGACGGACAUGGUAUUUGCGCGAGAAAUAGAAACCUAUAGCUUUGAGCUUAGGGAUUAGAACAUUUUGAACUCGGAUACAAAUCUUGUGGGUUUGUGUAAAAUAAGAAAAUAAUGGAAUGAGAUUUUAAUAAAAAAAUGUUCAUUAUAAUAUACGUUACACAGUUAUCUAUUUUUAAAUACAAUAUAUUACAGAGAAACACACACAAUUAUAAUUUAUUGUUAUUAUGUCUAUUAUAAUUACCUUACGAUUAAUAGUAUUAUUAUUAUGUUAUCAUUACUAUGUGCUAGCCUCGAUGAAUAUAUAAGGCAGCAGGAAAAAUUAUGUGUAAUGGGAGACUAAUUAAUGCAUGUAUUUUUUUGUUUAUUAGAGCAACUUUAUCGUCGAUUAUUACGAUUGUAUUUAAUCCCCAGUAGCUGUGCAACAGUAACGGCGAUAUUGGUAAUAAAUAGUUAACGUAAGGAUAAAUAUUACGCUACCGCGGCAGUGUAUACUUCCUGGAUUCUGGGUAAAGGGGCUUGUUCCUCUAAUUAUCAGGACUAUAUCGGCUAAUAUUCUACAUGAUAGACCCCCUUCCCGCUAUUCCAAAUAGUAUGGCUACUUAAUGAUGAUAACACAUCAACAAGCAGCGUUUAUAAUUAUUUAAAAUUAUUAUUUUUUCCAUAAACUGUGUCACAGAUAAGAAGUUACGGAUAAACUUGUUUUUAUCUUUAUGAAUACCUAUACGAUCGCGAUUUGAUUUCCUUAUAAAC